rnacentral:rRNA from 1 species
AGAGUUUGAUCCUGGCUCAGAUUGAACGCUGGCGGCAUGCCUUACACAUGCAAGUCGAACGGCAGCACGGGAGCAAUCCUGGUGGCGAGUGGCGAACGGGUGAGUAAUAUAUCGGAACGUGCCCAGUCGUGGGGGAUAACGUAGCGAAAGCUACGCUAAUACCGCAUACGAUCUACGGAUGAAAGCGGGGGAUCGCAAGACCUCGCGCGAUUGGAGCGGCCGAUAUCAGAUUAGCUAGUUGGUGGGGUAAAAGCUCACCAAGGCGACGAUCUGUAGCUGGUCUGAGAGGACGACCAGCCACACUGGAACUGAGACACGGUCCAGACUCCUACGGGAGGCAGCAGUGGGGAAUUUUGGACAAUGGGCGCAAGCCUGAUCCAGCAAUGCCGCGUGCAGGAUGAAGGCCUUCGGGUUGUAAACUGCUUUUGUACGGAACGAAACGGCUCUUUCUAAUAAAGAGGGCUAAUGACGGUACCGUAAGAAUAAGCACCGGCUAACUACGUGCCAGCAGCCGCGGUAAUACGUAGGGUGCGAGCGUUAAUCGGAAUUACUGGGCGUAAAGCGUGCGCAGGCGGUUAUAUAGGACAGAUGUGAAAUCCCCGGGCUCAACCUGGGACCUGCAUUUGUGACUGUAUAGCUAGAGUACGGUAGAGGGGGAUGGAAUUCCGCGUGUAGCAGUGAAAUGCGUANAUAUGCGGAGGAACACCGAUGG